CACGAACGCUGGCGGCGUGCCUAAUACAUGCACGUCGAACGCUGAAGGUGGUUCUUUCUUCUCUGGAUGAGUUGCGAACGGGUGAGUAACGCGUUGGUAUCCUGCCUAGUACCGGGGGAUAACUAUUGGAAACGAUAGCUAAUACCGCAUAAUAUUCGAUGUUGCAUGACAUUUGCUGAACAGUUGCAAUUUCAUCACUACCAUAUGGUCCUGCUUUGUAUUAUCUAGUUGGUGGGGUAAACGCGCACCAAAGAGAAGGUACAGAGCCGACGUGAGAGGGGGGUCGGCCACACUGGGACUGAGAGACGGCCCAGGCGGAUACGGGAGGGAGCAGUAGGGAAUAGUAGGCAAUGGACGGCAAUCUGACCGAGCCACGCCGCGUGAGUAAAGAAGGUUGUCGGAUCGUAAAGCUCUGUUGUAGGAGAAGAACGAGUGUGAGAGUGGAAAGAUCACACUGUGACGGUAUCUCACCAAAAAGGCACGGCAAACUACGUG
rnacentral:rRNA from 1 species